GGGUUGGGCUGUUCGCCCAUUAAAGCGGUACGCGAGCUGGGUUCAGAACGUCGUGAGACAGUUCGGUCCCUAUCCGGCGUGGGCGUAAGAUAUUUGAGAGGAGCUGUCCUUAGUACGAGAGGACCGGGAUGGACUGGCCGCUGGUGCAUCUGUUGUCUUACCAAAGGCAUAGCAGAGUAGCCAAGCCGGGAAGGGAUAAACGCUGAAGGCAUCUAAGCGUGAAGCCCCCCUCAAGAUGAGAUAUCUCAUAACGUCAAGUUAGUAAGACCCCUUGAAGACGACGAGGUAGAUAGGGCAGAGGUGGAAGUGUGGUAACACAUGGAGCUGACUGUUACUAAUAGGUCGAGGGCAUAACCAA
rnacentral:rRNA from 1 species